GGGCCCGCACAAGCGGUGGAGCAUGUGGUUUAAUUCGAUGAUACGCGAGGAACCUUACCAGGGCUUAAAUGGGAAAUGACAGGGGCAGAGACGCCCCCUUCUUCGGACAUUUUUCAAGGUGCUGCAUGGUUGUCGUCAGCUCGUGCCGUGAGGUGUCAGGUUAAGUCCUAUAACGAGCGCAACCCCUACCGUUAGUUGCCAGCGUGUAAUGACGGGGACUCUAACGGAACUGCCGGUGCAAACCGUGAGGAAGGUGGGGACGACGUCAAAUCAUCACGGCCCUUACGUCCUGGGCCACACACGUGCUACAAUGGUAGGUACAGAGGGAAGCCACCCCGCGAGGGGGAGCGGAUCUACAAAGCCGGUCUCAGUUCGGAUCGCAGUCUGCAACUCGACUGCGUGAAGCUGGAAUCGCUAGUAAUCG
rnacentral:rRNA from 1 species